rnacentral:rRNA from 1 species
AUGUCCGGGAUUCUGGACAGGUCGUGGCGGCCCUCGCGGUUCUUGGCGAGGAGACCGAGCACCUCGACGGCGCGGGCAGAGCCAUUGGCGGCCAGCUCGACGAGCGCCGGGGCGGCCCCGGCGCGCACCGUGCGCCGGCGGUUCUCGGGCAGCUUGCAGAGCUCGUACAGGGUUGUCGCGGCCUCGCGGCGCUCCCGCGCGCCGCCGCGCCAGAGCAGCCUGGACAGCGCUGGGACGGCAGAGGGAUGCGCCCCGAUGGUGCACUUGUUGACGCCCACGGUGGCGAGGCUCGUCAGCGCCGUAGCCGCGUGGGCGGCGGCCGCGCCGCCGGCGGACACGGCCGCGCAGAGCGCGUCGACGGCGCCGUCCGCCACGAGGCCGACGCGCGCGUCGUCGCCGUCGAGGCUGAGAUACAGGAGCGCCCUGGCCGCCGCCUCGUCCCCCGCGGCCGCGUGCUGGAGCAGCACCGCGACCGCGCCGGACUCCAGCACCUCCCUCCGCCCGGCCGGCCCAGACUUGGCCAGCCUGAGCAUCCCCAGGACGGAGGAGGACGACGCCGGCACCGCCCCUUGCCCCUGGCAGUCCCCCGCGAGGGCCUUGUCCGCGGACACGGCCGCCGGCGAAACGGAAACGGCCGCUAUGAGGCGGCGCAGCGCGUGGUUGGGGAUGAGCGUGGGGUCAGGGGGGAGAGGCAGGUUGGUGACGGGGCAGGUCCGGUGGCCCCCGUCGAGCCAGCGCUGGAUGCUGCGGCGCUCGAAGGUGUGGCCGGAGGGGAGGAUGACGGGGUCCGUCAUGACCUCGAGCGAGAUGGGGCAGAGGAAGUCGUCGGGCCAGGACGCCUGCUUGGACACUUCCAUGGCGUGGGCGCGAGGAGUCGCGGCGGGAGGUGGGGAGGAACGGAAAGCGUGUGGGACUGUGGAAGAAGAAGAAGAGGCGGAGGAGGAGGUGGUGGUGGAGCGAGUCCGUAUUGGGGAAAGUCCACUUCCGGUGGACGGGAACGGGAUGAUGAUGUGGGGGAGCGAGCGAGUGGGAAGACCAUCCGGUGAGCCUAAGAAGCCUCGCCGCCGCCGGCCCGUCCCGUCUCGUCUCGCCUCGUCUGUAUAUAUCCAUCCAUCUCGUCGUACGUGCGUGGCGUGUGCGUCGCUCGCGAUUUUUGGCAGAUCCUAA